AAGUCGUAACAAGGUUUCCGUAGGUGAACCUGCGGAAGGAUCAUUACCGAAUUGUUAACAAGAGUUGUUGCUGGUCCCUGUAUGGGGGCAUGUGCACGCUCUGUUUACACAUCCACUCACACCUGUGCACACUCUGUAGUUCUAUGGCCUGGGUAGGCUCUGUCCUCCUGCUGUGGUUCUACGUCUUUACACACACACACUACAACAAAGUCUCAUGGAAUGUAUGUCGCGUUUAACGCAAUGAAAUACAACUUUCAGCAACGGAUCUCUUGGCUCUCGCAUCGAUGAAGUACGCAGCGAAAUGCGAUAAGUAAUGUGAAUUGCAGAAUUCAGUGAAUCAUCGAAUCUUUGAACGCACCUUGCGCCCUUUGGCUAUUCCGAAGGGCAUGCCUGUUUGAGUAUCAUGCACACCUCAACUCCUCAUGGCUUGCCAUGACGAGCUUGGACUUUGGGGGUCUUGUUGGCCUGUGAGCCAGCUCCUCUUAAAGGGAAUUAGCUUGCCGGUGUUUGGUGGCAUCCCAGGUGUGAUAACUAUCUACGCUUGUGGUUUUCCACCAGGUAACCUUCAGCAAUGGAGGUUCACUGGAGCUUAUAAAUGUCUCUCCUCUGCGAGGACGCAUUUUGACCAUUUGAUCUCAAAUCAGGUAGGACUACCCGCUGAACUUAA
rnacentral:rRNA from 1 species